GACUUGAGCCGAAAUCAAGAGUUGGAGGCUUAACUGACUGAGCCACCCAGAUGAGGAAACUGAACUCCAGAGAGUUUAAGCAACUUCCUGAAAGCUGCUAGAUAAUAAAGGUGGAGCCGGAUCUGGACCCCAGGAGAUUCACCUCCUCCCAAUAUGCCUUGCUUCCUGUUCACACAGCCACAUUGUUGGAAGAGAAUUCCCAUAAUUCUACACAUCUGGUCAUAUGAGUCAUUAGAUCAAAUCAUAUAAUAGCACGGAGAAUUUCCAAAAAUGUUCCAUGAGGCUGAUUUACAAGAUAAGCUGUUGGAGGAAAUUAAAUCCACACCUCCCAGGACUUUGGAUUUUAUUUGUUUCCGGAGUUGGGAACACAGCUGCCGGUCGUGAGUGAAUAUCUGCCCCGAUUUGUCGCCAAGAAGGGUAAGAUGAAAGUUAAUGGAAGCCCCACAAUUUCUGACUUCUGUAUCUGUGAUGAAAGCACCAUAUGCUGCCUCUGAGGUGUGUUUAUUUCUUUUCUUCGAAACCUGGUUUCAACUCCUGAAGAAGUUCAGCAUCACUGUUGACUUAGUGACAUGACACAAAUCUAUUGUCACUAUAUGAUGAUUUCCAAAUUGGAUCCACGAUGUGAGUUUGAAUCACAGAAUUGAGGCCAAGUGGGAUGAAGAGAGAUGCGACUGUGGCAGUAACGGAAGUCAUGAUGUUUAUCUCUCCAGUACACUUAGCAACUUAUUUAACUUCAAAAUAUUUUUGUUUUAUGUCAGUUUUUUGCUUGUUUGUUUCUCUGGAUGUGAAUCAGAGAAGAUACUGGGUGUGAGAGCUUCAGGGAUGGCUAAAGAAGGAUGCAAAUAAAACUUACUUCCAAAGAGAAUAGUAAAAAAUAAAAUAAAAUAAGCACAUUUGUAUUAAUGUUGUCACUCUUAACAUUCACUAUCAAAAAUCAAAAGACUCAUGUAAAUAGAAGUAACAGACGUAAUUCUACUAACUCAGCCUCAAUGUCAGUGAUAUUAUUACCCAUGAUACCAAACAGCAUGACAAGUUUAUCAUGAUUAUUUAGAACACCAACAUGACCAUCUCCAGUUCAUAGUAUGACUUCUUCCAAUAAUACAGCUAAAGUUAAUGAGUUGGGGUGAGUGUUCUCACUAAUUUGUUUAUAUACAGGCCACUUGAGAUGUAUACACUAGGAAGUAAUCUCUGAGCAGAGAGAGACCAUAGGGUUCCAUAAUGAAGACAAAACAUGUACAAAAUGUCACAUUUGUUAAACACGAAAGAUGAGUUGUAUCAUGUCUGUAUGUGUCUGUGCCUAGACUUCAAAUAAUAUGGAUGUAUAUAUAAAGCUUCAUUUCAAGAUAAAAAGUUACCAUCUUAUUUGAGCAUAAUUGGGAGAUGUCGAGUGAACAGUUUACACCCUCCUUUAAACUAUUUACUUUUCUAUAGAAUCACUCUUACUAAACCUAAAACACGUUCCUUUGUUAAUGACAAUUGCAACUGGAAGAAAUCACGCAGCAGUUGGGAAAUAUCAUUCAUGUCCAAGAAUUCAUUUCUUCAAAUUUCUCUUACUAUUUUUAUUCAUGGCACAGAAAUGCAACUCUGUCUGCAAGAAGCCACCGGGCAUAAAUAUAGACAGGCACUUACCUCUUUGUCCAACAUAAUCAUUCAUCCGUGUUGGUGGAAGGAUGGAGGGAGGAGGGAGCAAGAAAGGAGUGAAUCAUUCUAUAUCCUUCAGGUGAAUAAUUUACUUGUUUGGUUUAAAUAAACCACAUUGAGGAAUAUCAAUUAUUUAAGAUUACUUGUAUACAGCUCAGUAUGUUAUAACCUUGUGAAGCAAAUUCUUGGCCCUGGUGCCUCAGUAGUUUCAAAGAGUUUAAGGCCCUCUCUGUCUAAAGUGAAAAGAAGAGUUUUCACUUUAGGAUCUACACUCAAAAGUCAUUUGGUCUCAACCACAACUUGGCCACUAGUUUAAACCUGGAUCAAGUAUUUUGUUAUCAACUGGUAAGGGUUUAAUCAUUUCUGUUUAUUUUAUGUAUUUUUCCUCUUAUGUGGUACAUUUCCACCAUAAAUUCAAAACUGAAUUAUUUCAUUCGCAUAAAAAUAUUUAUUAUUUCCUCUGGGUCUAAUAAGAUGCUUCAGGCUAUGUAUGUUAUCAAUAAACCAAUGAUUCUCACCUUUAA